rnacentral:rRNA from 1 species
UACGGAGGGGGCUAGCGUUGUUCGGAAUUACUGGGCGUAAAGCGCACGUAGGCGGACUUGUAAGUCAGGGGUGAAAUCCCGGGGCUCAACCUCGGAACUGCCUUUGAUACUGCAAGUCUCGAGUCCGGAAGAGGUGAGUGGAAUUCCUAGUGUAGAGGUGAAAUUCGUAGAUAUUAGGAAGAACACCCGUGGCUAAGGCGGCUCUCUAGUACGGUACUGACGCUGAGACGCGAAAGCGUGGGGAGCGAACAGG